rnacentral:hammerhead_ribozyme from 1 species
AUCCAGCUGGCGAGUCCAAAAUAGGACGAAACGUGCGUCCUGGAU